rnacentral:lncRNA from 1 species
AUGGCCAGCGAUGUUGAGGCGCCCAAUGCGGACCGGAUGGUGGCAUGCCGGCAGCAGUACCAGGUGAGGAUGAGGAGGAGAAUGAGGCUGAAGCCGCAUCUGAGGCCGAAGCUGCUGCUACAGACGAGGAUGCAAACACCGAGGCUGGACCAGACGGAGCCGAAGCGGACGAUGAGGCCGGACCAGACGGAGCCGAAGCGGACGAUGAGGCCGGACCAGGCGAGGCAGGACCGGGCGGCAGCGUGGCAGCUGCGGAAGCCAAUGAAGCUGAUGCUGACGCUGCAGACGUGGACGAGGCUGAUGAUGCUGAGGACGCUGCAGAUGUGGACGAGGCUGAUGAUGAUGAGGACGCUGCAGGCGUGGGCGAAGCUGAUGAUGAUGAUGAAGACGCUGGACCAGGCGUGGGCGAAGCUGAUGAUGAUGAGGACGCUGGACCAGGCGAGGAAGAAGACACGGAGGCUGGACCAGACGAGGAUGCAGAAGACACGGAGGCUGGACCAGACGAGGAUGCAGAAGACACGGAGGCUGGACCAGACGAGGAUGCAGAAGACACGGAGGCUGGACCAGACGAGGAUGCAGAAGACACGGGGACUGGACCAGACGAGGAUGCAGAAGACACGGGGACUGGACCAGACGAGGAUGCAGAAGACACGGAGACUGGACCAGACGAGGAUGCAGACACGGAGACUAGACCAGACUAGGGCGAAGACAAAGCUGAAGCUGGACCAGGCGACGAUGACGAUGAAGGUGAGACUGCUGUUGCAGGCGUGAGUGAAGCUGCCGCUGCAGGCGUGGGUGAAGCUGCAGCCGCAGGCGAGGAUGAUGAAGCUGCAGCCGCAGGCAAGGAUGAUGAAGCUGCAGCCGCAGGCAAGGAUGAUGAAGCUGCAGCCGCAGGCAAGGAUGAUGAAGCUGCACCCGCAGGCAAGGAUGAUGAAGCUGCACCAGGCAACGCUGAAGCUGAUGCAGAGGCCGGACCAGGCAAAGCAGGACCGGGUAGCAGCGUGGCAGCUGCGGAAGCCAAUGAAGCUGAAGCUAGCCCAGGCCAGGAUAAAGCUGAUGCUGCAGGCGUGGGUGAGGCUGAUGCUGACGCUGCAGGCAUGGAAGAAGACACGGAGGCUGGACCAGGCGAGGAGGAAGAGACGGAGGCUGGACCAGGCGUGGAUGAAGGCUCUGAAGCUGGACCAGACGAGAAUGUCGCUGCAGGCGGUGGCGUGAAAGCCGGAGACGAAGGCGCUGCAGACAAUGGCGCUGCAGGCGGCGGCGUGAAAGCCGGAGACGAAGGCACUGCAGGAGACGGCUUGGGAGCCGCAGGUGGUGGAGCUGCUGCAGCUGCUGCUGCAGGCGGUGAUGAAGCUGCUGCAGCCGCUGCUGCAGGCGGUGAUGGAGCUGCUGCAGCCGCUGCUGCAGGCGGUGAUGGAGCUGCUGCAGCCGCUGCUGCAGGCGGUGAUGGAGCCGCUGCUGCAGGCGGUGAUGGAGCCGCUGCUGCAGGCGGUGAUGGAGCCGCUGCUGCAGGCGGUGAUGGGGCCGCUGCAGGUGGUGAUGGAGCCACUGCUGCAGGCGGUGAUGGAGCUGCUGCAGCCGCCGCUGCAGGCGGUCAUGGGGCCGCCGCUGCAGGCGGUGAUGGAGCCGCCGCUGCAGGCGGUGAUGGAGCCGCCGCUGCAGCCGCUGCUGCAGGCGGUGAUGGGGCCGCUGCAGGCGGUGAUGGAGCCGCUCCUGCAGCUGCUGCUGCAGGCGGUGAUGGAGCCGCUGCUGCAGGCGGUGUUGGUAGCUGGACGGACUCCUCGGUCCCCCCAGCGAAAGCAGCAGGCUGAAGCGGUUCCUGAGACCCCUCAGUUGAAGCUGCUGAUGACAGUGAGGGCUGGACGGGCUCCUCGGUCCCCCCAGCGAAAACAGGUCCAAAACCAGUAGGCACGGGCGCCUCUGGCACACAUGAGGAGAACUGCAGCUGCACAGAGCACUGACCCUGCUCAGGCAGUGACAGCCGGGUGCGGUCCUUAGCUGGCAACUUGGCCUCCAAGGGUCCAGAGUUAGCUGCAGGUUGUAACCUAGCCUCUGGGGAAGCCCUGGAGCGAGUCCCUAACAUUGCUAGCGUUUGAGGAACAGGUGUGUCUCUCUGCUUAGAGUGAGCGCUCGGAAAACAGUUCAAAAUGGGCGGUGUACGCACAGCCUCUUGCAGAGGGGUGAGUGAAGACUGUGACUGAGCCAUUAACUGAACUACUGACUGAGCCAUAGACUGAAAUAUGGGUUGUAGUGACUCCAGUGGUGAGGAUAGCUGAGUUGCUGACUGAAUUGGUGGCUGAACAGGUUGCACUGACAGAAGUGGAGCAGGUGAAGUAGGGAAAUCACAAGGAGAACUGUCCCCCAUCACAAAACACUCAGCCCCUGAGUACGAAGUCACAAAGUCAGAAGCAACCCGAUCAGUGUCCUUUACACUCACCACAGCCGGGCGCGCUGUAGUCCCAAACUCUGGUGGCGGAAUGGCGCGCCAACGGCGCGAUUGUUGCUUCCUUGUGGAAGAGGAAGCGGGGGUGUCUGAUGGAAAGGAGGAAGACCUCUGUUGCGGCCGCUCCUGCUGCGGGGUGGAAAAGACAACCGCUCCCGUCAAUACCUUAGGAGUGACAGGAAGUGUGGCAGGGUGAUGACGGCGAGGGUAGCUUUUCAUCUUUAAAGGUGGGUCGAGUGAUUUGGCCACAAACCUUGGUGAAAAAUGCUGCUGACGCCGAGAACACCAAGCGGCGAGUGCCUCCAGAAGGGCAGCUGAAUCUUCCUGCUCUGGGCUGCCCAUGCCAAACAGUUCAAAACACAAACUGGUUCUCAGAGCUGAUACCACUUGUUUUAAUCCUUUAAUGUGCAGAAAGGUUAUGGUGAAGGUAGGGGAUGACAAGAAGUUGUCAAAAAACACUACCUCUGGAAGCCUCUUGUAGUUAUCCACGGCGUGAAUUAUGCGCCGGCAAUAAUCCCACAGCUGUGCGAGGUGCUUUCCCUCUGAGGCAAAAGGGGAGUCCGCUGGAUCCAUCUUGUGGUCGUGUCGUACUGUCAUGACUGGGGCCACAGUCGUAUGAAGGUGAGAAAGGAGGAUCCAAUAGCAGACAGUGGCGAAGGUGCAAGUGGGUUUUAUUUACAGUGCACAAAACCAAGGUGUGGAGCAGAACCGAUCAUAAACCUAAACUGGGAAAACUAAUACAAAAAGGAAGACACGGAGCGAGGAGCAGAGAGACAUGGAGAAACACGGGAUAAUGCGGAGUACACAGAGAUUCACAGAGAAACACAGACGACGCGACGAGGAGCACAAGCAGAGACGCAGUAUAAAUACACACAUCAGGUAAUCAGGAAAUAGCACACAGGAGGGGAAACAGCUGGAACUAAUGGACAUAACGAGACACAAACCUACAAAGUAAAACAGGAAACACACAGACUGUUUUACACAACCAACUGGGGACACGAACAGAACACAGAGGAGAGACACAGGUAGGGAUGAUAGAACACAACUCAAACCCUAAGAACAAAUACAAAACAGCAGAAACUGGAAAAUAAUAACAAUAAACUCAAAACGCUGGGUCAUAGACCCAGGAUCAUGACAGGAACUGAGUGAUUCCA